GGAUGUGAGGGCGAUCUAGCUGCGACAUCUGUCACCCCAUUGAUCGCCAGGGUUGAUUCGGCUAUCUGGCUGGCUAGGCCGGUGUCUCCUUCCUCAUUCACAGCUCGAUGUGCGUCCCUCCUGAAGCUGCGCUCUCGGUGGAAGAGGACGGCCUUCCCCAAAAAGAGAUGGACCAGUCUUCGGUCGAGGGUAUACGAGUAGCUGCGCUCCCCCGCCAGAACCUCCAAACAAGCUCUCAAGGUCCAACUUUUGUAACUCUAGGUUAUGUUUUUUGGUGGGGGCUCUCCCAAGUGGUGCUCAGAGAAUGAGUGAACCACUU
rnacentral:snRNA from 1 species